rnacentral:rRNA from 1 species
GACGAACGCUGGCGGCGUGCCUAAUACAUGCAAGUAGAACGCUGAAGAGAGGAGCUUGCUCUUCUUGGAUGAGUUGCGAACGGGUGAGUAACGCGUAGGUAACCUGCCUGGUAGCGGGGGAUAACUAUUGGAAACGAUAGCUAAUACCGCAUAAAAUUGAUUAUUGCAUGAUAAUUAAUUGAAAGAUGCAAUUGCAUCACUGCCAGAUGGACCUGCGUUGUAUUAGCUAGUUGGUGAGGUAACGGCUCACCAAGGCGACGAUACAUAGCCGACCUGAGAGGGUGAUCGGCCACACUGGGACUGAGACACGGCCCAGACUCCUACGGGAGGCAGCAGUAGGGAAUCUUCGGCAAUGGGGGGAACCCUGACCGAGCAACGCCGCGUGAGUGAAGAAGGUUUUCGGAUCGUAAAGCUCUGUUGUAAGAGAAGAACGGGUGUGAGAGUGGAAAGUUCACACUGUGACGGUAUCUUACCAGAAAGGGACGGCUAACUACGUGCCAGCAGCCGCGGUAAUGCGUAGGUCCCGAGCGUUGUCCGGAUUUAUUGGGCGUAAAAGCGAGCGCAGGCGGUUAGAUAAGUCUGAAGUUAAAGGCUGUGGCUUAACCAUAGUAUGCUUUGGAAACUGUUUAACUUGAGUGCAGAAGGGGAGAGUGGAAUUCCAUGUGUAGCGGUGAAAUGCGUAGAUAUAUGGAGGAACACCGGUGGCGAAAGCGGCUCUCUGGUCUGUAACUGACGCUGAGGCUCGAAAGCGUGGGGAGCAAACAGGAUUAGAUACCCUGGUAGUCCACGCCGUAAACGAUGAGUGCUAGGUGUUAGGCCCUUUCCGGGGCUUAGUGCCGCAGCUAACGCAUUAAGCACUCCGCCUGGGGAGUACGACCGCAAGGUUGAAACUCAAAGGAAUUGACGGGGGCCCGCACAAGCGGUGGAGCAUGUGGUUUAAUUCGAAGCAACGCGAAGAACCUUACCAGGUCUUGACAUCCCUCUGACCGCUCUAGAGAUAGAGUUUUCCUUCGGGACAGAGGUGACAGGUGGUGCAUGGUUGUCGUCAGCUCGUGUCGUGAGAUGUUGGGCUAAGUCCCGCAACGAGCGCAACCCCUAUUGUUAGUUGCCAUCAUUGAGUUGGGCACUCUAGCGAGACUGCCGGUAAUAAACCGGAGGAAGGUGGGGAUGACGUCAAAUCAUCAUGCCCCUUAUGACCUGGGCUACACACGUGCCACAAUGGCUGGUACAACGAGUCGCAAGCCGGCGACGGCAAGCUAAUCUCUGAAAGCCAGUCUCAGUUCGGAUUGUAGGCUGCAACUCGCCUACAUGAAGUCGGAAUCGCUAGUAAUCGCGGAUCAGCACGCCGCGGUGAAUACGUUCCCGGGCCU